UACGUAGGGUGCAAGCGUUGUCCGGAAUUAUUGGGCGUAAAGAGCUCGUAGGCGGUCAGUCGCGUCUGCUGUGAAAACUCGGGGCUUAACUCCGGGCCUGCAGUGGGUACGGGCUGACUAGAGUGCGGUAGGGGGAGACUGGAAUUCCUGGUGUAGCGGUGAAAUGCGCAGAUAUCAGGAGGAACACCGGUGGCGAAGGCGGGUCUCUGGGCCAUAACUGACGCUGAGGAGCGAAAGCGUGGGGAGCGAACAGG
rnacentral:rRNA from 1 species